GGGAGGCCUUAUUUGGUCUACUGACCUUACUGCCCUAAGGCUUUUUUCCUUACAGAAUUUCCUUACUUUUUUCCCUGUCUUCACAGAAUUUCCUUACUUUUUUCCCUGUCUUCACAGAAUUUCCUUACUUUUUUCCCUGUGAACUGCGUUUCAUUAUUGGUUACUUUUGCCCUAAGGCUUUUUCAUUUUGGCGGGAGGUCUUAUUUGGUCUUCUGACCUUACUGCCCUAAGGCUUUCUUCCUUACAGAAUUUCCUUACUUUUU
rnacentral:lncRNA from 1 species